rnacentral:rRNA from 1 species
AUUGAACGCUGGCGGCAUGCCUUACACAUGCAAGUCGAACGGUAACGGGCCUUCGGGUGCCGACGAGUGGCGAACGGGUGAGUAAUACAUCGGAACGUGCCCGAUCGUGGGGGAUAACGAGGCGAAAGCUUUGCUAAUACCGCAUACGAUCUACGGAUGACAGCAGGGGACCGCAAGGCCUUGCGCGGACGGAGCGGCCGAUGGCAGAUUAGGUAGUUGGUGGGAUAAAAGCUUACCAAGCCGACGAUCUGUAGCUGGUCUGAGAGGAUGAUCAGCCACACUGGGACUGAGACACGGCCCAGACUCCUACGGGAGGCAGCAGUGGGGAAUUUUGGACAAUGGGCGCAAGCCUGAUCCAGCCAUGCCGCGUGGAGGAUGAAGGCCUUCGGGUUGUAAACUGCUUUUGUACGGAACGAAAAGCCUUAUUUUAAUACAGGAGGGUCAUGACGGUACCGUAAGAAUAAGCACCGGCUAACUACGUG